rnacentral:rRNA from 1 species
GACGAACGCUGGCGGCGUGCUUAACACAUGCAAGUCGAACGGAAAGGCCCUGCUUUUGUGGGGUGCUCGAGUGGCGAACGGGUGAGUAACACGUGAGUAACCUGCCCUUGACUUUGGGAUAACUUCAGGAAACUGAGGCUAAUACCGGAUAGGAGCUCCUGCUGCAUGGUGGGGGUUGGAAAGUUUCGGCGGUUGGGGAUGGACUCGCGGCUUAUCAGCUUGUUGGUGGGGUAAUGGCUUACCAAGGCUUUGACGGGUAGCCGGCCUGAGAGGGUGACCGGCCACAUUGGGACUGAGAUACGGCCCAGACUCCUACGGGAGGCAGCAGUGGGGAAUAUUGCACAAUGGGCGGAAGCCUGAUGCAGCAACGCCGCGUGCGGGAUGACGGCCUUCGGGUUGUAAACCGCUUUCGCCUGUGACGAAGCGUGAGUGACGGUAAUGGGUAAAGAAGCACCGGCUAACUACGUG